AAGUCUGAGACCCACAGAGUUUGUGCGACUUGCCCAGGGCCAAAAGACACCUAAAAGGGAAUAUGAAGGGCUGUGAGACCCCAAAUGACAUCCAGUUGCCCCCACUUUCUUCUCUAACUUAAUGGCCUCCACCCCAAAGAAGCCUAUGGCUCACCAGACUGACCUUAGAAACUACAAAGGUGUUAACCAACGGUUGUACCUCAUUUUACAUCCUUGACCUCUUUGGAUCACCAUCUCCUCACUAAUAAAAGAUCAUUUUU